rnacentral:tRNA from 1 species
UAUUAAUUUCCCCAACUGGCUAGCGCGUUCGGCUGUUAACCGAAAGGUUGGUGGUUCGAACCCAGCUGGAA